rnacentral:rRNA from 1 species
GACGUAGGGCGCGAGCGUUGUCCGGAUUUAUUGGGCGUAAAGAGCUCGUAGGCGGCUUGUCGCGUCGUUCGUGAAAACUCACAGCUCAACUGUGAGCUUGCGGUCGAUACGGGCAGGCUAGAGUUCGGUAGGGGAGACUGGAAUUCCUGGUGUAGCGGUGAAAUGCGCAGAUAUCAGGAAGAACACCAAUGGCGAAAGCAGCUCUCUGGGACGGUACUGACGCUGAGACGCGAAAGCGUGGGGAGCGAACAGG